ACGCUCGACACCUACGGGAGGCAGCAGUGGGGAAUAUUGCACAAUGGGGGAAACCCUGAUGCAGCGACGCCGCGUGAGCGAAGAAGUAUUUCGGUAUGUAAAGCUCUAUCAGCAGGGAAGAUCAUGACGGUACCUGACUAAGAAGCUCCGGCUAAAUACGUGCCAGUAGCCGCGGUAAUCUGAGCGGGCUGGCAAGGC
rnacentral:rRNA from 1 species